AGUAAUGGAUAGGUCGGGCAGUUUGGCCCUGCUCGUAACCCGCGCUAUGGUCAUUAGCGGGGACCGAACGCCGCGGGCGUCCGGUCAGACCGGCCGGGGCCCCGGGAGCCAACAGAGAAGCCUCGUCCGUCGGGGACAGCGGUCUACGGUGGCCGUCCGCAGGGACGUCCCAUCGUGGUUAGCCGGCGACAGCCCAUCAGGCGCGGAAGCGAGCAGUGGACCGCCGGACACCUGUCGCUCGACGGGUCGCGGGGUGGAGAAGGCAACCGGGAUUCCCCCGGCCGGAACGCCGGGCAACCGUGGCUCUCCACACU
rfam:Natronococcus occultus SP4, complete genome.